AUGGACCAGUAUGGCCCAAACCCUCUCCCAGUACAAACCAGUGCUCCCAGUAUGGCCCCAAACCCCAUCCCAGUGUUCCCAGUAUGGACCAGUUUGGCUCCCAGUGCUCCCAGUAUGGACCAGUUUGGCUCCCAGUGCUCCCAGUAUGGACCAGUGACCCCUCUCAGUGUUCCCAGUAUGGACCAGUAUGGCCCAAACCCUCUCCCAGUACAAACCAGUGCUCCCAGUAUGACCCCAAACCCCAUCCCAGUGUUCCCAGUAUGGACCAGUGACCCCUCCCAGUGCUCCCAGUAUGGACCAGUGACCCCUCCCAGUGCUCCCAGUAUGGACCAGUUUGGCUCCCAGUGCUCCCAGUAUGAACCAGUAACCGCUCCCAGUGCUCCCAGUACAAACCAGUAAUCCCAGUAUGGCUCCCAGUGUUCCCAGUAUGAACCAGUGACCCCUCCCAGUGCUCCCAGUAUUCCCAGUAUGGUUCCCAGUGCUCCCAGUAUGGACCAGUGACCCCUCCCAGUGCUCCCAGUAUGGACCAGUAUGACCCAAACCCUCUCCCAGUACAAACCAGUGCUCCCAGUAUGGCCCCAACCCUCUCCCAGUAUUCCCAGUUUGGCUCCCAGUGCUCCCAGUAUGGACCAGUAUGGCCCAAACCCUCUCCCAGUACAAACCAGUGCUCCCAGUAUGACCCCAAACCCCAUCCCAGUGCUCCCAGUAUGGACCAGUAUGACCCAAACCCUCUCCCAGUGCUCCCAGUAUGGCUCCCAGUGCUCCCAGUAUGG
rnacentral:lncRNA from 1 species